rnacentral:lncRNA from 1 species
GUCUUCACCCAGGGCCAGGGGCAGGAUCCAGAUGCAUGCAUGACACUCUGGAGAUGUCCCAAGUGACCUGCGAGCGACUUGAGGCAAUAAGCUGUUGGGAGGCAGAAAAGCUUUAUUUAGCUCUUCUCCCUCAGAUGCAGAGGAACUUUGCGUCUUACGUAGUUUUGCCUGUGAAAACUCGAGGUCCUCUUGGCUUCUUCCGCUCAGCUGCUUCCCUCCGUGCAUGCCUUUUCGGCUCUGGGUUGCUGUAGGAGGAGUUUGCGGUCGCCUCCCCCUCUGACGUCCAGAGGCCAGAUUCUCCCACCAAGGUGAGCCCCUUCAUUCCCCUAGGAGAAUGU